GCCUGGGUGGCUCAGUCGGUGGAGUGUCCGACUUCGGCUCAGAUCAUGACCUCACGGCUUGUGAGUUCAAGCCCCGCGUCAGGCU
rnacentral:tRNA from 1 species